rnacentral:rRNA from 1 species
AAAGCGGUACGCGAGCUGGGUUUAGAACGUCGUGAGACAGUUCGGUCCCUAUCCGUCGCGGGCGUAGGACAUUUGAGAGGAUCUGUUCCUAGUAUGAGAAGACCGGAAUGGACGAACCGCUGGUUCACCAGUUGUGGCGCCAGCCGCAUCGCUGGGUAGCUAUGUUCGGACGGGAUAACCGCUGAAAGCAUCUAAGCGGGAAGCCCACCUCAAGACGAGAUGUCCCAAGCGUAAGCUUCUGAAGGCCCCUUGAAGAUUACAAGGUCGAUAGGCCGGAGGUGUAAGUGGCAAGGUAACGAGCCAUUCAGCCGACCGGUACUAAUAGCCGUGCGGCUUGACCA